rnacentral:rRNA from 1 species
UUCCAGACUCCUACGGGAGGCAGCAGUGGGGGAUAUUGCACAAUGGGGGAAACCCUGAUGCAGCGACGCCGCGUGGGUGAAGAAGCGCCUCGGCGCGUAAAGCCCUGUCAGCAGGGAAGAAAAUGACGGUACCUGAAGAAGAAGCCCCGGCUAACUACGUGCCAGCAGCCGCGGUAAUACGUAGGGGGCAAGCGUUAUCCGGAUUUACUGGGUGUAAAGGGAGCGUAGACGGCAAGGCAAGUCUGGAGUGAAAGCCCGUGGCCCAACCACGGGACUGCUUUGGAAACUGUGUUGCUGGAGUGCAGGAGGGGUAAGCGGAAUUCCUAGUGUAGCGGUGAAAUGCGUAGAUAUUAGGAGGAACACCGGUGGCGAAGGCGGCUUACUGGACUGUAACUGACGUUGAGGCUCGAAGGCGUGGGGAGCAAACAGGAUUAGAUACCCGAGUA